rnacentral:rRNA from 1 species
CUACGGGUGGCUCCAGCAAGGAAUUUUGUGCAAUGGGCGAAAGCCUGACACAGCGACGCCGCGUGGGGGAUGAAGGCCUUCGGGUUGUAAACCCCUUUUCUCAGGGAGGAAUAAUGACAGUACCUGAGGAAUAAGUCAUGGCUAACUACGUGCCAGCAGCCGCGGUAAUACGUAGAUGGCGAGCGUUAUCCGGAUUUAUUGGGCGUAAAGAGGGCGCAGGUGGCUUUUCAAGUCGGAUGUAAAAUCUCCCAGCUUAACUGGGAGGGACCACUCGAUACUGUUAAGCUAGAGGGCAACAGGGGGAGGUAGAAUUCCCGGUGUAGUGGUGAAAUGCGUAGAUAUCGGGAGGAAUACCAGUGGCGAAGGCGGCCUCCUAGGUUGUUACUGACGCUUAUGCCCGAAGGCGUGGGGAGCAAACAGGAUUAGAUACCCGGGUAGUC